rnacentral:tRNA from 1 species
GCGCCAUUAGCUCAGUUGGUAGAGCACCUGACUCUUAAUCAGGGUGUCCGGGGUUCGAGUCCCCGAUGGCGUACCA